GGAUACCUAGACUGAUGUUUUCGAUGAAGGACGUAGGAGCCUGCGAUAAGGUUCGGCGAGCUGGCAAACACGCUAUGACCCGGACAUUUCCGAAUGGGGAAACCCACACUGCUUGCAGUGUACUGUGCACCCAAAACCAUUAAGUGCAUGGAGAGAAGUCGGCGAACUGAAAUAUCUCAGUAGCCGGAGACAAGAAAUUAAUAAAGAUUCCCUUAGUAGUGACGAGCGAAGAGGGAGGAGCCCAAACCAACCUUCGGGUUGGGGUUGUAGGACCUCAAUAUCUUUUGUUUAUAUAUAGUAGAAAGCUUUGGAAAGAGCUACCACAGAGGGUGAUAGUCCCGUACAUGAAAUAUAUUUGCAACAGUAGAGUGUUCCUGAGUAGGUUCGGACACGUGUAAUCCGGAUUGAAUCUAGGUGGACCACCAUCUAAGGCUAAAUAGAACAUCAGAUCGAUAGUGAACUAGUACCGUGAGGGAAAGGUGAAAAGAACCCCGGGAAGGGGAGUGAAAUAGAUCUUGAAAUUAUAAACUUAUAAGGAGUGGGAGCCUUUCGGGGUGACCGCGUGCCUUUUGUAGAAUGAGCCAUCGAGUUAGCUGUAUGGGGUAUGAUUAAGGCAGUUUCAGCCGUAGUCGUAGCGAAAGCGAGUCUUAAAAGGCGCCUAUCUCAUGCACUAGACCCGAAACCAGGUGAGCUUACCAUGGGCAGGUUGAAGCGUCGGUAAAACGACGUGGAGGACCGAACCACCGAGUGCAGCAAAACUCUUGGAUGACCUGUGGUAAGAGCAGAAAUUGUCAUCGAACCUGGAAAUAGCUGGUUCUCUCCGAAAUAUAUUUAGGUAUAGCCUCUAGUUACUAGCAUGGGGGGUAGAGCACUGUUUGGGGAAGGGCGGGAAAUAACUGUACCAACUCCUAGCAAACUUUGAAUACCCAUGUGACUGUCUAGGGAGUCAGGCUGCGACAGCGAAGUGCCGUAGCCGCGAGGGAAAGAGCCCAGACCACCGUCUAAGGUCCCUAAUAUUAUCUCAGUGGUAAAGGAUGUAAGAUUGUUUAAACAGCCAGGAGGUUGGCUUAGAAGCAGCCACCCUUUAAAAAGUGCGUAAUAGCUUACUGGUCGAACGAUUUUGCGCCGAAAAUCUAACGGGGCUUAAGAUAAUAACCGAAGACGUGGGCGGUCAAUUUAUUGAUCGCGGUAGGAGAGCGUUGUGGGAGCACUGAAGCCGGCCUGUAAGGGUUCCGGUGGAGCGACCACAAGUGAGAAUGAUGGCAUAAGUAACUUUAAUGAGAUGAAAACUCUCAUCGCCGUACACCCAAGGUUUCCGAUCCCAUGGCAGUCAUGGUCGGGUUAGUCGGGCCUAAGGCGAGGCCGAAAGGCGUAGUCGAUGGACAACAGGUUAAUAUUCCUGUACCGCAAAUUUCAGUGAUGGCAGGACGCAUAUGGAAAAUCUAAUUCCUGUUAAUGAAUUCAGGGGCAAGCGUUUAGCUUAUGCUUUACCAGGCAAAUCCGGUAGAGUUCGUGAGACGUGAUGCGUAUAUGCUUUUCUUCGGAAAAGAUAAAUUAGUGAUUCGCGUGCCAAGAAAAUUGUCUAAACUUAUGAAAUUUGUGACCGUACCGCAAUCCAACACUGGUGGGUGGAUUGAGUAUAUUAAGGCGUUCGGGAUAACUGAGCUUAAGGAACUCGGCAUAAUAGCGUCCGUAACUUCGGGAUAAGGACUCCCUCUAUUUAUUUAGAGGGCGCAGCGAAAGAUGCCCUGCAACUGUUUAUCAAAAACACAGGUCCGUGCUAACUCGUAAGAGGAUGUAUACGGGCUGACCCCUGCCCAGUGCCAGAAGGUUAAGAGGAGAGGUUUACGCUUCGAAUUUAAGCCCUGGUGAACGGCGGCCGUAACUAUAACGGUCCUAAGGUAGCGAAAUUCCUUGUCGGGUAAAUUCCGACCCGCAUGAAUGGGGUAAUGAUGGGGCAACUGUCUCAAGCUCAGACCCGGUGAAAUUGCAGAAACGGUAAAAAUGCCGUUUACGCGCGGUAGGACGGAAAGACCCUAUGGAGCUUUACUCUAGCUUGACAUUGAGUCCUUUUAUAUUUUGUGCAGUAUAGGUGGGAGACUUUGAAGCAAAACGCCAGUUUUGUGGAGUCGCUCUGUGAGAUACCACCCUCAAUAUAAAAGGCCUCUUACCUUGGCCCUUAUCAGCCUUUGACGAGAUUUUCUCGAAAGUUGAUACGGGUCUGGGGACAUUGUUUGGUGGGGAGUUUGUCUGGGGCGGACGCCUCCUAAAAAGUAACGGAGGCGCGCAAUGGUAAGCUUAGGUCGGAUGGAAAUCGACCUGGACGUGUAUUCGCACAAGCUUGCCUGACUGUGAGACCUACAAGUCGAGCAGGGACGAAAGUCGGUGAAAAUGAUCCGGUGUCACCACGUGGGUGGGGCAUCGCUCAACGGAUAAAAGUUACCCUAGGGAUAACAGGCUAGUCAGACCCAAGAGUUCAUAUCGACGGUCUGGUUCGGCACCUCGAUGUCGGCUCAUCGCAUCCUGGGGGAGUAGCAUCUCCCAAGGGUAUGGCUGUUCGCCAUUUAAAGCGGUACGUGAGCUGGGUUCAGAACGUCGUGAGACAGUUCGGUCCCUAUCCUCCGUGCGCGAUUAGAAAUUUGAAGGAAGCUGCUCCUAGUACGAGAGGACCGGAGUGGACGAACCUCUAGUGUACCGGUUGUCGUGUCAACGGCAUCGCCGGGUAGCUAUGUUCGGAAGGGAUAACCGCUGAAAGCAUCUAAGCGGGAAGCCCCACCUAAGAUAAGAUUUCUUUUAAGAGUCCUGGGAGAUUACCAGGUUGAUAGGUCACAAGUGUAAGCCUAGUAAUGGGUUCAGCUGAGUGAUACUAAUUACUCGUUUAAACAUUUUUCAUUUGUAUUUUA
rnacentral:rRNA from 3 species